rnacentral:rRNA from 1 species
CUACGUGCCAGCAGCCGCGGUAAUACGUAGGUGGCAAGCGUUGUCCGGAAUUAUUGGGCGUAAAGCGCGCGCAGGCGGAUCAGUCAGUCUGUCUUAAAAGUUCGGGGCUUAACCCCGUGAUGGGAUGGAAACUGCUGAUCUAGAGUAUCGGAGAGGAAAGUGGAAUUCCUAGYGUAGCGGUGAAAUGCGUAGAUAUUAGGAAGAACACCAGUGGCGAAGGCGACUUUCUGGACGAAAACUGACGCUGAGGCGCGAAAGCCAGGGGAGCGAACGGGAUUAGAUACCCCGGUAGUCCUGGCCGUAAACGAUGGGUACUAGGUGUGGGGGACAUUCCACGUUUUCCGCGCCGUAGCUAACGCAUUAAGUGCCCCGCCUGGGGAGUACGGCCGCAAGGCUAAAACUCAAAGAAAUUGACGGGGGCCCGCACAAGCGGCGGAGCAUGCGGAUUAAUUCGAAGCAACGCGAAGAACCUUACCAGGUCUUGACAUCCCUCUGACCGCUCUAGAGAUAGAGUUUUC